rnacentral:rRNA from 1 species
GCAGUAGCCGCGGGAAUACAGAGGGUGCAAGCGUUAAUCGGAAUUACUGGGCGUAAAGCGCGCGUAGGUGGUUUGUUAAGUUGGAUGUGAAAUCCCCGGGCUCAACCUGGGAACUGCAUUCAAAACUGACUGACUAGAGUAUGGUAGAGGGUGGUGGAAUUUCCUGUGUAGCGGUGAAAUGCGUAGAUAUAGGAAGGAACACCAGUGGCGAAGGCGACCACCUGGACUAAGACUGACGCUCAGGUGCGAAAGCGUGGGGAGCAAACAGGAUUAGAUACCCGUGUAGUCCCUGUCUCUUAUAC